rnacentral:sRNA from 1 species
AUAAACCUAAACAAAAGAUUUUUUUAAGCGUUCACAUAUUGUAAAGGGUUUACAUGUAUGUUUGAACCUUUUACAAUGUGUGAAUUUUUAUUUUACCCAUAAAUAAAAGUUGCAUAUUCAUUUUAUUUUUUGGAGGUAACACCCAUGCAAACAGGUACAGUAAAAUGGUUCAACGCUGAAAAAGGUUAUGGCUUCAUCGCAGUUGAAGGCGGAAACGAUGUAUUCGUUCACUUCAGCGCUAUCCAAGGUGAAGGUUUCAAAUCCCUCGAAGAAGGCCAACGCGUUGAGUUCAACGUAGUAGAAGGCAACCGUGGACCACAAGCUGAGAACGUUGUAAAACUGUAAUCGGCUUUCAAAAGCUGUCCUUCUGAAUAGAGGGACAGCUUUU